UUCUGCGAUAUUCCUUUCCCAGACUGUUUUUUUCCUAGAUGUGCCUGCUGGAGUCUAGGGAUAGUUGGCAUAUUGAUUGGGGCCCCACUUGAAACUCCCUCCCCAGGCAAGCUUCCUUGACCUGAGUUAACCUUAAAACAAAUUAAAUUCCAUCUCAGAUUUACCAUCGUUGAUAAUGUUCUUUCUCCUCCUUAGAAGGAAUGGAUGAAGGGAAGGAACCACAGAAGCAGUUGGAAGGAGAUUGCUGUAGUUUCAUCACCCAGCUUGUGAACCACUUCUGGAAACUCCAUGCAUCCAAACCCAAGAAUGCCUUCUUGGCACCUGCCUGCCUUCCAGGACUAACUCAUAUUGAAGCUACUGUCAAUGCUCUGGUGGACAUCAUCCAUGGCUAC
rnacentral:sRNA from 1 species